rnacentral:lncRNA from 1 species
CCAAAUUCUGAAUUUCAUAGUACUUGCAUGAUUUUUGAGUUGCUUUUAAAUAUUGCUUUCCCUAUGAUACCCUUUUCUUGCAUAAUUCACAUUCUCAGCUUGCAAUUUCAUCAACUACAGGAUAAGACAUGAAGAAGGUCCAGAGAUCCCAAGAUACAUACACCAAGCUACAUUUGAAGGUCCCGUGUUUGACAGAGCAGGAGAGCUGUUUAAACGCAUUGAAAUACGCAAUAAUCAAAUCCUAACAUCGGAUUCCUUCAGAACCUGUGCACUGACCACGUAACUGUUAAUACUUGAUGACCAGGACUUCACCUGGUGUGUUGUGUCCUUGUGACUACUGAACUCACCAGAGGUGUGUAACUCUUUCUUGGAUUUCUUCUUAAGCAUUUCAUUUGUCUGACUUCAACACAAAUGGUGUGUGAUCAUCAUCAAUCUUGAUGUUAUCAGAGAACGUUUUUGUCAACAGGGCUUCAACUUCAAAU